rfam:Paenibacillus sp. MY03 contig8, whole genome shotgun sequence.
AGAACCUUUAACUCAGUCCCGAGAGGCUGGCAAGGUAGCGUGAAUAUUGGUCAUUAAUGGACGGAAUUGGACAAUCCACCCGCAUUCGUGUUUUUGAAAUCAUGAUGCGACGAGUGGGCUCCGAUUUUUUCCCGACUGGUCACAGACUCCUUGCGGACAUCUUCGCAUGGAGUCUUUUUGU